CAGGUGAUGACUGGGUUGAUAGGCCGGGUGUGGAAGCAUCGUAAGGUGUGGAGCUGACCGGUACUAAUAGGCCGAGGACUUGACCACAG
rnacentral:rRNA from 1 species